UGUGAUCUGCCUGCUAGGCACUUUCCACGGUAUCAUCCACGUCUCUGAGGAAGCAUCAUGAUAGAAAUACCUUGGCUCAACAACCAACCAAUCACAGGUGCUGUCUCAAGAGACUUGGCACUUGUCUGGCCCCUGUGUAAAGAUGACCUGUUCUAUCCUCAGCCUGACAACAGGUGACCUUUACUUCAAGGUACAAUGCAGUGAAGCUGUGAUGCUUUACCAAUGGAACAGGACCUCAUACAGCAACGUGCCUCCCAUAGGCAAAGGACGAUACAUAGCAACCAGUCUGGCCAAUGAGACAGGUGAGCUCAGAGUAGCCAGCUGUGGCUGUUGCCUCCAUGUUCGACGACCAUUUCAUCAAACAGUUAAUGGAUAAGUUUUUACUGAGAGACUUCCAUUGGGAUCUUAUAGCAAGCUCUCAUGUGCUGGAUCCUUUAUAUGAUGCAGUUGGAACGAAAUGUGAUUUCUCUGGAAUGCUCCAUGCAUCUCAUGAGUCCCCCCAUUUGAAUAGUACUUUAGAGCACAUUGGAUGACCUUAGAUUGCUUUCCUCAAUCCAUAGGCUGGCU
rnacentral:lncRNA from 1 species